rnacentral:rRNA from 1 species
GCAGGCUUAACACAUGCAAGUCGAGGGGCAGCAUUUUAUUUUGCUUGCAAACUGAAGAUGGCGACCGGCGCACGGGUGAGUAACACGUAUCCAACCUGCCGAUAACUCCGGAAUAGCCUUUCGAAAGAAAGAUUAAUACCGGAUAGUAUACGAAUAUCGCAUGAUAUUUUUAUUAAAGAAUUUCGGUUAUCGAUGGGGAUGCGUUCCAUUAGUUUGUUGGCGGGGUAACGGCCCACCAAGACUACGAUGGAUAGGGGUUCUGAGAGGAAGGUCCCCCACAUUGGAACUGAGACACGGUCCAAACUCCUACGGGAGGCAGCAGUGAGGAAUAUUGGUCAAUGGGCGAGAGCCUGAACCAGCCAAGUAGCGUGAAGGAUGAAGGCCCUAUGGGUCGUAAACUUCUUUUAUAUGGGAAUAAAGUUUUCCACGUGUGGAAUUUUGUAUGUACCAUAUGAAUAAGGAUCGGCUAACUCCGUGCCAGCAGCCGCGGUAAUACGGAGGAUCCGAGCGUUAUCCGGAUUUAUUGGGUUUAGAGGGAGCGUAGGUGGACUGGUAAGUCAGUUGUGAAAGUUUGCGGCUCAACCGUAAAAUUGCAGUUGAUACUGUCAGUCUUGAGUACAGUAGAGGUGGGCGGAAUUCGUGGUGUAGCGGUGAAAUGCUUAGAUAUCACGAAGAACUCCGAUUGCGAAGGCAGCUCACUGGACUGCAACUGACACUGAUGCUCGAAAGUGUGGGUAUCAAACAGGAUUAGAUACCCUGGUAGUCCACACAGUAAACGAUGAAUACUCGCUGUUUGCGAUAUACAGUAAGCGGCCAAGCGAAAGCAUUAAGUAUUCCACCUGGGGAGUACGCCGGCAACGGUGAAACUCAAAGGAAUUGACGGGGGCCCGCACAAGCGGAGGAACAUGUGGUUUAAUUCGAUGAUACGCGAGGAACCUUACCCGGGCUUAAAUUGCAACAGAAUAUAUUGGAAACAGUAUAGCCGUAAGGCUGUUGUGAAGGUGCUGCAUGGUUGUCGUCAGCUCGUGCCGUGAGGUGUCGGCUUAAGUGCCAUAACGAGCGCAACCCUUAUCUUUAGUUACUAACAGGUCAUGCUGAGGACUCUAGAGAGACUGCCGUGGUAAGAUGUGAGGAAGGUGGGGAUGACGUCAAAUCAGCACGGCCCUUACGUCCGGGGCUACACACGUGUUACAAUGGGGGGUACAGAAGGCAGCUAGCGGGUGACCGUAUGCUAAUCCCAAAAGCCUCUCUCAGUUCGGAUCGAAGUCUGCAACCCGACUUCGUGAAGCUGGAUUCGCUAGUAAUCGCGCAUCAGCCACGGCGCGGUGAAUACGUUCCCGGGCCUUGUACACACCGCCCGCCAAGCCAUGGGAGCCGGGGGUACCUGAAGUACGUAAAAGCAAGGAUCGUCCUAGGGUAAAACUG